GGAAGGGUCGGUGGAAGGUUGGGUAAACCGUUUGGUUUUCGACCACUAGGACCCGGGUUCGAUUCCCGCAUUGGGCACUUUUUUCU